CCGAACUGAGAGGUUGAUCGGCCACAUUGGGACUGAGACACGGCCCAAACUCCUACGGGAGGCAGCAGUAGGGAAUCUUCCACAAUGGACGCAAGUCUGAUGGAGCAACGCCGCGUGAGUGAAGAAGGCUUUCGGGUCGUAAAACUCUGUUGUUGGAGAAGAAUGGUCGGCAGAGUAACUGUUGUCGGCGUGACGGUAUCCAACCAGAAAGCCACGGCUAACUACGUGCCAGCAGCCGCGGUAAUACGUAGGUGGCAAGCGUUAUCCGGAUUUAUUGGGCGUAAAGCGAGCGCAGGCGGUUUUUUAAGUCUGAUGUGAAAGCCCUCGGCUUAACCGAGGAAGUGCAUCGGAAACUGGGAAACUUGAGUGCAGAAGAGGACAGUGGAACUCCAUGUGUAGCGGUGAAAUGCGUAGAUAUAUGGAAGAACACCAGUGGCGAAGGCGGCUGUCUGGUCUGUAACUGACGCUGAGGCUCGAAAGCAUGGGUAGCGAACAGGAUUAGAUACCCUGGUAGUCCAUGCCGUAAACGAUGAAUGCUAGGUGUUGGAGGGUUUCCGCCCUUCAGUGCCGCAGCUAACGCAUUAAGCAUUCCGCCUGGGGAGUACGACCGCAAGGUUGAAACUCAAAGGAAUUGACGGGGGCCCGCACAAGCGGUGGAGCAUGUGGUUUAAUUCGAAGCAACGCGAAGAACCUUACCAGGUCUUGACAUCUUUUGAUCACCUGAGAGAUCAGGUUUCCCCUUCGGGGGCAAAAUGACAGGUGGUGCAUGGUUGUCGUCAGCUCGUGUCGUGAGAUGUUGGGUUAAGUCCCGCAACGAGCGCAACCCUUAUGACUAGUUGCCAGCAUUUAGUUGGGCACUCUAGUAAGACUGCCGGUGACAAACCGGAGGAAGGUGGGGAUGACGUCAAAUCAUCAUGCCCCUUAUGACCUGGGCUACACACGUGCUACAAUGGAUGGUACAACGAGUUGCGAGACCGCGAGGUCAAGCUAAUCUCUUAAAGCCAUUCUCAGUUCGGACUGUAGGCUGCAACUCGCCUACACGAAGUCGGAAUCGCUAGUAAUCGCGGAUCAGCACGCCGCGGUGAAUACGUUCCCGGGCCUUGUACACACCGCCCGUCACACCAUGAGAGUUUGUAACACCCGAAGCCGGUGGCGUAACCCUUUUAGGGAGCGAGCCGUCUAA
rnacentral:rRNA from 1 species